rnacentral:rRNA from 1 species
CAGCCGCCACGGUAAUACGGAGGGAGCUAGCGUUGUUCGGAAUUACUGGGCGUAAAGCGCGCGUAGGCGGUUACUCAAGUCAGAGGUGAAAGCCCGGGGCUCAACCCCGGAACUGCCUUUGAAACUAGGUGACUAGAAUCUUGGAGAGGUCAGUGGAAUUCCGAGUGUAGAGGUGAAAUUCGUAGAUAUUCGGAAGAACACCAGUGGCGAAGGCGACUGACUGGACAAGUAUUGACGCUGAGGUGCGAAAGCGUGGGGAGCAAACAGGAUUAGAUACCGGGCAGUCCCUGUCUCUUAUACA